rnacentral:rRNA from 1 species
GACGAACGCUGGCGGCGUGCCUAAUACAUGCAAGUAGAACGCUGAAGGAGGAGCUUGCUUCUCUGGAUGAGUUGCGAACGGGUGAGUAACGCGUAGGUAACCUGCCUGUAGCGGGGGAUAACUAUUGGAAACGAUAGCUAAUACCGCAUAAGAGUAGAUGUUGCAUGACAUUUGCUUAAAAGGUGCAAUUGCAUCACUACCAGAUGGACCUGCGUUGUAUUAGCUAGUUGGUGGGGUAACGGCUCACCAAGGCGACGAUACAUAGCCGACCUGAGAGGGUGAUCGGCCACACUGGGACUGAGACACGGCCCAGACUCCUACGGGAGGCAGCAGUAGGGAAUCUUCGGCAAUGGACGGAAGUCUGACCGAGCAACGCCGCGUGAGUGAAGAAGGUUUUCGGAUCGUAAAGCUCUGUUGUAAGAGAAGAACGAGUGUGAGAGUGGAAAGUUCACACUGUGACGGUAUCUUACCAGAAAGGGACGGCUAACUACGUG